rnacentral:rRNA from 1 species
GUCUACCCUACUAUCCUGACAUUGACUGCUCUCAUCUGAUCACAGAGGCGGACCAGGGUUGGGCCUGCUUAGUACUUGGAUAGAGACUGCUUCUGAACAAGGGCACCGUAGGCU